UAUAAUCAAGAUGUUAGAAAAUAUUAGAAUCAAGGUUAUGAAUAGGUUGCAAAAACUUGAAGAAGAGGGUAGAAAUUGGAAUGGAGAAUUUAGUCCAUAUGCCAUGGAGUUGUAUAAUGAUUUCAAUAUCAUUGCACAAUGUUGUCAAGUUCAAUCUAAUGGAGACCAAGGAUAUGAGGUAGUUGAGUGCGAAGAUAGACAUGUGGUAAUCUUAAUAGGAAGAAGUGUACAUGUAGGACAUGAGCCUUGACUGGUAUACCAUGUCCUCAUGCCAUUAAAGCAUAUCUUUACGACAAUCAAGAGCUACUAGAUCAAUUGAGUUGAUGGUAUUCCAGAGAAGCUUACAUGUUGAUAUACAUGCAUAAAAUACAACCUGUUAGAGGUGACAAGUUUUGGAAAGUUGAUCCUUCUCAUGCUAUGGAGCCACCAAAAAUACAUAAAUUGGUAGGUAGGCCAAAACUUAAGAGAAA